rnacentral:lncRNA from 1 species
AAAAAAAAAUUAAAAUAAAUACGGCAUAGACAACACAUGUAAUUGUAAGCAAAUAUUCAAUACUUGAAUUAAAAAAACUAAAGAGUAGCAUCAAUUAAAGCACAAAAUGAGCAUCCUAUUCUUCUACAAGAUUGUCAAGAGUAGCAUCAAUUGGGCAGAAUCUGGGCAGAAUUUGGGUAGGUAGAAUUUUUCUGAAAAAAAUUCGCCAGUAUUUCAGCGCUUUUUGGACGUUUAGAAAAAAGAAGAAGAAGAAGAAGAAUGAAAAUAAAAACAUACCUGUUGAAACUUGAAAGCUGUUGUAAUGUUGAAGAAGAAGAAGACGAAGAACCUUAGUUUGCUUGAACAAAUCGUUGCUUCAUGUGAGGAAGAAAUCGCUGGUUUUUUGAGGAAGAAAAGGCUGGUUUAGAACCCUAGUUUGUUGCUGAAGAAGUGUCUAAAACAGAAGACUCAACGAUUUGGGUCUUUUAAUUGAAAAAGACUCGUUUGGGCCUUUUAAUUCAAGAAGCGAUCGCUUCUUCCGCUCCCGACCGCUUCACCGCUUCUCGCUUUUUAGAGAGAAGCGGUCGCUUUUCUGUACCUGAGCCGCUUUUAGUUGGGGUAACGACCAACCCAUCGCUCCGCUUCGCUUCUCGCUUAAAGCGAGGAAGCGGACGCUUUUUUUAACACUGCUAGUUACAUGAUAUAGAAUAGUUUAGUGAUAUAAUCACGUCUUUAGGUGCACUUCAAAAUUACGCCUUAAUCAAAUACUCGUAGAAAUGCUUUAGGCGCGAUUAAUUAACUAUCGUGACUAUGAGUACGGUUCUCGUGGCAUCGUCAUGAUACCUGAUUCCCAAAUUCGGGGGUGCAUUUCAUGUAACUCGAUCAUAACAAUUUCGAAUAUUAAUAAAAUACACAUGUCGUGAAUCACGGGUGCAUUUCAUGUAGCGUGAUACGCGGCGUGUUCCAAAACAAACAAGUGUACGACAAUCGUAACUUGUUCUAACAAAAUAAUUCCAUAAAUCCUAAAAGCGGUUAAAAUAAUUAAAAGGCGGUUAUAAAGCUAAAAAUGCACAAUAGAUUUAAAACGUGUAGUAAAUUAGAUAAUAGGCCAAUGUUAAUAGUUUAAGCUACCGUGCUAGAACCACAGAACCUGGGAAUGCCUAACACCUUCUCCCGGGUUAAUAGAAUUCCUUAUCUAGAAUUUCUGGUUCGCAGACUUAUAAAGUAAAGUCGAAAUUUCCUCGAUUUGGGAUUUUAAAAUAAAUCAGUGACUUGGAACACCAAAUAAACUAUUCCAAGCGGCGACUCUGAUAAAUUAAUUAAUCUCAUUUCGAUUUAUGUCACUUUAAUUGGAAAAACUUCCUUGUACCCCCUCGGGGUGUAAAUGAGGUGUGAUUUUAUGGUAAAGAAACUUAUGCAUUGUGAGAGAGAAAGAAAAGCUUUAGCACUAUUGUAGUUUCAGCAUGUAAAACUUAACAAGCAUAUACAGACAGUGUCAAACAAAAAGAAACAGCUCAUAUUCAUCUGAAGUUUCAAUUACAAAGCAAUCAAACAAGGAAAUGGUCAUAUGUACUUUGAAACAACAGUUAAGUAACAACUAAAGUGAAGAUAAGACUGUUGGAGGAAUCUCAGAAGCAGAAAACAGCAAACAAUGAACAACACAACUUCAGUAGACUCAAAGAAUCCCAGAAUUUCAAAACUAAACCAACACUUGAAAAACCAGAAAUCCUAAGUACAUACUCCUAGGAAAAUUCUUCAUUUCAACUCAUUUUUUAACUUGUUAACAAAGAGAGAUUUUUUUCUUUUUGGAAGUUUUUCUGAGAUUUUCUUUAAAUCUGAAAUUCAGAGAAGAGAGGAAAUUUUUCUGCAGAGAAUGAUACUACUGAUUGUUCAUCCUCUUUCUUAGAAUGAGGGAAACCUACUUAUAUAGGCUGCCUAGGGAGAGUAUCUUUUUUGGCAUAUUCCUUAUCCUAGGGUAAAAAUAGUACUGUCCUUGGUACAACUGUCCUAUAUUUCAGCAUCUUUUUGUAAUAGCUAGGACAGCUGUACCGUUUUCAAGGAAAUUUCUGAUGUUUAGCCUAGGUAGAAACCCAUUUUUAACCUUCAAGUUGCUGCUUAUUUCAGUCUUAACCUAAACUUUUUCAGUUCAAAUAGGUCCCUAAAGUUUCUAUCUGUGAGCAAUUUAGAACAAACAAGGACAAAACUAAAAAGGGUGAAAAUUUGGAUCAAAAUGCUUAAACAGGUCGAAAAGAUGCAGUCUAGACUUAAUAGAAGGAAAAGCUUGAUCAAUUAGAACUGACUAACACUGAAACUAAAAAAAAUGCAUUUAAACAGUAAUCCAAAAAUCAGAAAUGCAAAUGCAAGGAACAAACUGGAAUUCAAACUACGUCAAUUUGCAAAACUUAAACAAACGAACCUAAAUAAUUGUCAGCCCUCCUAAAAUAAGCCUUUAGACUAGUUUAGGAAAUAAGAGCAAUCAUUUUGAACAUGCUGAAUCUUAGAGAUUGAGACCUAGGCUAAUUGGAAACAUGCUUUUCCUUUUUUUCUUUCUUUUUUUUUAAAAUCUAUCAAACAAAAAACCAACAUCAAACAGAGCUAGGGGUAUGUGAAUUAAAAGAAGGGGGGUAUUUCAGCAUCAAUUUAAAACAUGCAGUUAAAACAAGAACAAUUAAACAUGCAGGAAAGAAACAAAACAAAAUCAGACAGUCAAAAGAAAAAAGAAAGGGAUUUACCGGGUUUUAUUUCAAAAACUGGAUCGAACCACGAACUCGUCCAAACUCCCUGAAGUGUAAAUGGACUUUGACUACCAUUAAAACAGUCGACUAAUGAAGGUUCUAAGUCCACUUGACCAAUUUUGACCGAAAAAAUCAGAAAAGGGGAAAAAAUUAGGGUUCGACGAUUAUGAGAUUCAAGAUUCGGGGAAAUUGGCUGAGAUUUUUGAGGAAUCAAGGGUGAGACAGGGGUGAGGGAAGGUCGAGGACUGUUUGGUAUGAAUUUGUGGGCUUUGGGGGAAAUUAGGGUUUUGGAAACCUAAAUUUCGAUUCAAGAUUCGAGCAGCUAGGCAGUGAUUCGAAGGCAAAGGGUUGGGGAUUUGUAAAGAGGGGAUGAAGGGGAGUUCGGGGUGUUAAUUUGGUUAAGAUUGGAACAAUUAGGUUUUUUAGCUGGAUUUUCAAUCUAAUAUUGGAGGAGUUUGGCAGUGAUUCGAAGGAAGACAACUAGAGAUAUGAAUUGAAGAGGUGAAGGGGAGCUCAUGGUGUUAUUUUGGGGAAGAUUGGUCCACCGGAACCGCCGUGAGGCGAUUUUCGGCGGUGGUUUGCGGUGGAGGCGGCGUGGGGAUAUGAGGCGGCUAGGGUUUAUUGAGAAAGAGAUGAGAGUGAAGACUGAAAGAGG